rnacentral:lncRNA from 1 species
GAAAAGAUUAUAGAAAAGGUUAGAGAGAUGUAACGAGAUUACUAGAAUAUACAAAGUUUUACUAGGUCAUGACGAGUGGGUGGGUCAUCGAACCUUAUCACUAUAAAGAAAAACUACUCACACAAGUCAUGUAUCUUGUUCAGGUUGAUAUGGGAGGAGUACCAGCAACACUGGUUAAUAUCGUGUCAAGACGUCAGCCGUUAGCAGUUGCAUAUUUAUGUGAUUAUUUAGAAACAACUAGUUUAAA